UGGGGAAUAUUCCGCAAUGGACGAAAGUCUGACGGAGCGACGCCGCGUGAUGGAUGAAGUCCCUCUGGGACGUAAACAUCUUUUAUGAGGGAGAAAGUUUAUUGAUAGUACCUCACGAAUAAGGGGUUGCUAAACUCGUGCCAGCAGCAGCGGUAAUACGAGUGCCCCGAGCGUUAUCCGGAAUCAUUGGGCGUAAAGGGUGUGUAGGUGGCAUUGUUAGUCACACGUUAAACCCUGGGGCUUAACCCCAGAUCUGCGUGUGAUACGGCAAAGCUAGAGGAUGGCAGGGAUGUAUGGAACUCAUGGAGUAGGGGUGAAAUCCGUUGAUAUCAUGGGGAACACCGAAAGCGAAGGCAGUACAUUGGGCCACUCCUGACACUGAAACACGAAAGCGUGGGUAGCGAAUGGGAUUAGAUACCCUCGUAGUCCCUGAGCGGGCUGGCAAGGCGCAU
rnacentral:rRNA from 1 species